CCUACGGGGGGCUGCAGUGGGGAAUAUUGGACAAUGGGGGCAACCCUGAUCCAGCCAUGCCGCGUGUGUGAAGAAGGCCCUCGGGUUGUAAAGCACUUUCAGUGAGGAAGAACGCCUGGUGGUUAAUACCCAUCAGGAAAGACAUCACUCACAGAAGAAGCACCGGCUAACUCCGUGCCAGCAGCCGCGGUAAUACGGAGGGUGCGAGCGUUAAUCGGAAUUACUGGGCGUAAAGCGCGCGUAGGUGGCUUGAUAAGCCGGUUGUGAAAGCCCCGGGCUCAACCUGGGAACGGCAUCCGGAACUGUCAAGCUAGAGUGCAGGAGAGGAAGGUAGAAUUCACGGUGUAGCGGUGAAAUGCGUAGAGAUCGGGAGGAAUACCAGUGGCGAAGGCGGCCUUCUGGACUGACACUGACACUGAGGUGCGAAAGCGUGGGUAGCAAACAGGAUUAGAUACCCUAGUAGGC
rnacentral:rRNA from 1 species